rnacentral:rRNA from 1 species
CGCCUCUUGCUGUAUGAUAAGAGGUCCCGCCUGCCCUGUGACGAAAGUUUAACGGCCGCGGUAUUUUGACCGUGCGAAGGUAGCGUAAUCACUUGUCUUUUAAAUGGAGACCUGUAUGAAUGGCAUAACGAGGGCUAGACUGUCUCCUUUCCCCAGUCAAUGAAAUUGAUCUUCCCGUGCAGAAGCGGGAAUAGCAGCAUAAGACGAGAAGACCCUAUGGAGCUUUAGACCAUCGCAGCAGACCACGUCAAAACCUUUAAGCCACUAAAACUAAACAAAGUGGCCUCCUGCUACAAGUCUUUGGUUGGGGCGACCGCGGAGAAACAACCAACCCCCGCGUGGUACGGGCCACACCCCUAAAGCCAGAGCCACCGCUCUAACGAGCAGAAUGUCUGACUUUCAAGAUCCGGCAUCGCCGAUUAACGGACCAAGUUACCCUAGGGAUAACAGCGCAAUCCUCUUUCAGAGCCCAUAUCGACAAGAGGGUUUACGACCUCGAUGUUGGAUCAGGACCACCUAAUGGUGCAGCCGCUAUUAAGGGUUCGUUUGUUCAACGAUUAAAGUCCU